UUGAUCUCAAAUCAGGCAGGACUACCCGCUGAACUUAAGCAUAUCAAUAAGCGGAGGAAAAGAAACUAACAAGGAUUCCCCUAGUAACUGCGAGUGAAGCGGGAAAAGCUCAAAUUUAAAAUCUGGCGGUUGUUUUGGCCGUCCGAGUUGUAAUCUAGAGAAGUGUUACCCGCGCUGGACCGUGUACAAGUCUCCUGGAAUGGAGCAUCAUAGAGGGUGAGAAUCCCGUCUUUGACAUGGACUACCAGGGCUUUGUGGUGCGCUCUCAAAGAGUCGAGUUGUUUGGGAAUGCAGCUCAAAAUGGGUGGUAAAUGCCAUCUAAAGCUAAAUAUUGGCGAGAGACCGAUAGYGAACAAGUACCGUGAGGGAAAGAUGAAAAGAACUUUGGAAAGAGAGUUAAACAGUACGUGAAAUUGCUGAAAGGGAAACGCUUGGAGUCAGUCGCAUCGACUGGAAAUCAACCUUGCUUUUGCUUGGUGUAUUUUCUGGCUUGAUGGGUCAGCAUCAAUUUUGACUGCUGGAUAAAGGCUUGGGGAAUGUGGCAUCUUAGGAUGUGUUAUAACCCUUGGUUGCAUACAGCAGUUGGGAUUGAGGAACUCAGCACGCCGCAAGGCUGGGUCGAAAGACCACGUUUACGUGCUUAGGAUGCUGGCAUAAUGGCUUUAAUCGACCCGUC
rnacentral:rRNA from 1 species